rnacentral:rRNA from 1 species
CCACGGGAGGCUGCAGUGGGGAAUAUUGGACAAUGGGCGAAAGCCUGAUCCAGCCAUGCCGCGUGUGUGAAGAAGGCCUUCGGGUUGUAAAGCACUUUCAGUGGGGAAGAAAGCCUUGGGGCUAAUACCCUCGAGGAAGGACAUCACCCACAGAAGAAGCACCGGCUAACUCCGUGCCAGCAGCCGCGGUAAUACGGAGGGUGCGAGCGUUAAUCGGAAUUACUGGGCGUAAAGCGCGCGUAGGCGGUCUGAUAAGCCGGUUGUGAAAGCCCCGGGCUCAACCUGGGAACGGCAUCCGGAACUGUCAGGCUAGAGUGCAGGAGAGGAAGGUAGAAUUCCCGGUGUAGCGGUGAAAUGCGUAGAGAUCGGGAGGAAUACCAGUGGCGAAGGCGGCCUUCUGGACUGACACUGACGCUGAGGUGCGAAAGCGUGGGUAGCAAACAGGAUUAGAUACCCUUGUAGUC